GACGAACGCCGGCGGCAUGCCUAAUACAUGCAAGUCGAGCGAACAGAUGAAGUGCUUGCACUUCUGACGUUAGCGGCGAACGGGUGAGUAACACGUAAGGAAUCUACCUAUAAGCGGGGGAUAACAUUCGGAAACGGGUGCUAAUACCGCAUAAUAUCUUCUUCCGCAUGGAAGAAGAUUGAAAGACGGCUCUGCUGUCACUUAUAGAUGACCUUGCGGUGCAUUAGUUAGUUGGUGGGGUAACGGCCUACCAAGACGAUGAUGCAUAGCCGACCUGAGAGGGUGAUCGGCCACAUUGGGACUGAGACACGGCCCAAACUCCUACGGGAGGCAGCAGUAGGGAAUCUUCCGCAAUGGGCGAAAGCCUGACGGAGCAAUGCCGCGUGAGUGAAGAAGGCCUUCGGGUCGUAAAACUCUUUAGAGUGGGAAGAAGUGCCUUACGGUGAAUAAUCGUAGGGUGUGACGGUACUACUAGAAUAAGCACCGGCUAAUUUCGUGCCAGCAGCCGCAGUAA
rnacentral:rRNA from 1 species